rnacentral:rRNA from 1 species
UAGGGAAUAUUGGGCAAUGGAUGCAAGUCUGACCCAGCCAUGCCGCGUGGAGGAAGAAGGUCCUCUGGAUUGUAAACUCCUUUUUUGGGGGAAGAAGAGACAUCUUGCGAGGUGUUGUGACGGUACCCUAAGAAUAAGCCACGGCUAACUACGUGCCAGCAGCCGCGGUAAUACGUAGGUGGCAAGCGUUGUCCGGAUUUAUUGGGUUUAAAGGGUGCGUAGGUGGUUUAUUAAGUCAGUGGUGAAAGCUGAUUGCUCAACAAUCAAAUUGCCAUUGAUACUGAUAGACUUGAGAGAAGUGGAGGCUGGUGGAAUGGAUGGUGUAGCGGUGAAAUGCAUAGAUAUCAUCCAGAACGUCAAUUGCGAAGGCAGCUGGCUGUACUUUUUCUGACACUGAGGCACGAAAGUGUGGGGAUCAAACA